rnacentral:rRNA from 1 species
AGAGUUUGAUCCUGGCUCAGGAUGAACGCUGGCGGCGUGCCUAAUACAUGCAAGUCGAGCGAACCACUUCGGUGGUGAGCGGCGAACGGGUGAGUAACACGUAGGUGAUCUGCCCAUCAGACGGGGACAACGAUUGGAAACGAUCGCUAAUACCGGAUAGGACGAAAGUUUAAAGGUGCUUCUGGCACCGCUGAUGGAUGAGCCUGCGGCGCAUUAGCUAGUUGGUAGGGUAAAGGCCUACCAAGGCGACGAUGCGUAGCCGACCUGAGAGGGUGAACGGCCACACUGGGACUGAGACACGGCCCAGACUCCUACGGGAGGCAGCAGUAGGGAAUCUUCGGCAAUGGGCGAAAGCCUGACCGAGCAACGCCGCGUGAAUGAUGAAGGCCUUCGGGUUGUAAAAUUCUGUUAUAAGGGAAGAACGACUUUAGUAGGAAAUGGCUAGAGUGUGACGGUACCUUAUGAGAAAGCCACGGCUAACUACGUG